ACUUCAGUCUCCUUACUAGCAGGGCAUUUGACAUACAUAAUUCCUUCAGAAAGUGUAAAAGUGUACUUUUAUUUACAAUAAAUAAUGCUGUAACACUGCUUUUUGGAGCUUAAUAAAUCUAUGUGGCUGGAAAAAAAAAUCAUAGGUGCGAUACUUCAAAGGAAGACACAUUGAUAACAGUUGUAUUGUUUAUUAAAACUGAAAGACAGUUUUUCUUCUACACUAAGUAGUAAGAAAAGAAUGUCAUGUACAAUGUUUUGAUGUACAAAAAUCACAUUAGUAAGAGCAAAUGAGAGCUCAAGAUCACAUACAGGAGAAAAGCACCGAAAACGCACACACAUACUGUGUCUUGUGUCAGCUGAUCAGUGGAAAGACUCGUCUGAAAAAACAAUGUCUUUCCAAACUUUUCAUAAUGCGAUCAUUUGAGGGCCAGACAUCUGACUAAUGUACAUCCACAUGCAUAUGCUGUAUAUAGAAAAAAAAUUCUUCAAAACGUGUUACGGUGGCAGAUUUUUGGUUUUUAGGACUACAGAACUUUUUCUGAUGAUGCUCGCGCUCACAGACAGUCAUAUUCACCAUACAACUCCCUCAAGACCACUUCAUUUUAUGCGCUUUCAAAAGAAUCAGAGAAAAAAUAGGAUUACUCUGUAUAUAUGUCCUUGUUUCUGGAAAAUGAUGUAUUAAUAAAUUAAUACAGUGGAAUUCAUCUGUGCUCUCUGUUGAUGGGUGUUUCUUCAACUUUGGCCACUUUUAUGCCUGAAAGGAUUAUGUUAAAUUUGUUAUAUGAUGGAUCACAUUAAAGCUAUCAUUGUC